CACAGAAAUGGCAUCACCAGAAACGACCUCACCCGCCACCAAGCAAACUCCUGCAGGCGCACCCAGCGGCAAGCGACCCCUCAGGCACUAUGACCCGGCCCACCCACCGGCCUCUAAUCCACACAAGUUACAAGAAGUGCCCGUGCCACUAUACACACCGGAGCAAGACAACGGGGAGGAAAAACCAGCAGGCCCCAAGAGCAAAGCAUCACUACAGACAAGCAGCAGAGA